GACGAACGCUGGCGGCGUGCUUAACACAUGCAAGUCGAACGAAGUGGAGAACGGGUGAGUAACGCGUAAUCAACCUGCCCUUCAGAGGGGGACAACAGUAGGAAACGACUGCUAAUACCGCAUACUGAAGGAGGGGAUUGCGUCUGAGUUGCUAGUUGGAGGGGUAACGGCCCACCAAGGCGAUGAUCAGUAGCCGGUCUGAUAGGAGGAACGGCCCAAUUGGGACUGAGACACGGCCCAGACUCCUACGGGAGGCAGGAGGGGGGGAUCUUCCGCAAUGGACGAAAGGCUGGCGGAGCAACGCCGCGUGAGUGAUUACGGCCUUCGGGUUGUAAAGCUCUGUUAAUCGGGACGCGGUACCUGAAUAGAAAGCCACGGCUAACUACGUGCCAGCCGCCGCGGUAAUUC
rnacentral:rRNA from 1 species